rnacentral:tRNA from 1 species
GCCCCGAUGGUGAAAUUGGUAAACACAGCAGACUUAAAAUCUGCCGACCGUAAGGUCUUGCCGGUUCGAUUCCGGCUCGGGGCACCA